UCGCUAGUAAUCGCGGAUCAGAAUGCCGCGGUGAAUACGUUCCCGGGUCUUGUACACACCGCCCGUCACACCAUGGGAGUCAGCAACGCCCGAAGUCAGUGACCCAACCAUUAUAGGAGGGAGCUGCCGAAGGCGGGGCAGGUGACUGGGGUGAAGUCGUAACAAGGUAUC
rnacentral:rRNA from 1 species